UACGAAGGGUGCAAACGUUGCUCGGAAUCAUUGGGCGUAAAGAGCGUGUAGGCGGUCCGGUAAGUCCGCUGUGAAAGUCGGGGGCUCAACCCUCGAAUGCCGGUGGAUACUGUCGGGCUAGAGUGCGGAAGAGGCGAGUGGAAUUCCUGGUGUAGCGGUGAAAUGCGCAGAUAUCAGGAGGAACACCUAUUGCGAAGGCAGCUCGCUGGGACGUUACUGACGCUGAGACGCGAAAGCGUGGGGAGCAAACAGG
rnacentral:rRNA from 1 species